CGAUAACGCUGGAGGUCUGUGGAUCCACAACGCUGCCACCGGAUGCUCCAAGCUGCUCAGCUGUAAAGAAGAUGCAUGUGGGGACGUCAAGAUCAGCUCCUGUACAUCGCUUGUUUACGCUGUCUACCCAAAUGAUGCAAAUCUCGACAUCUUCAACUCCACCACCUGUGAUAGUGUGGGAACGUUGCCGUACACAGGAUCUGUUCCCACUGGUUCUCCGAGCCUUGGAUUCGAACCAGCCUGCCUAGCUUGAGAGGG